rnacentral:rRNA from 1 species
UACAGAGGUGGCAAGCGUUGUUCGGAAUUACUGGGCGUAAAGGGCGCGUAGGCGGCCAUCUAAGUCAGACGUGAAAUCCCCCGGCUUAACCUGGGAACUGCGUCUGAUACUGGACGGCUUGAGUAUGGGAGAGGGAUGUAGAAUUCCAGGUGUAGCGGUGAAAUGCGUAGAUAUCUGGAGGAAUACCGGUGCGAAGGCGGCAUCCUGGACCGAGAUUGACGCUGAACGGCGA